GCCGGGCAUGGCGCAGCGGGAUGCUUCAGCGGGAAACGUUGAUGGUCGGGACGAGACCGACCAUGGCGGCUCAGUCAGCCUUCCCGGCGC
rnacentral:tRNA from 1 species